UGGGGAAUAUUGCACAAUGGGCGCAAGCCUGAUGCAGCAACGCCGCGUGAGGGACGACGGCCUUCGGGUUGUAAACCUCUUUUAGUAGGGAAGAAGCGAAAGUGACGGUACCUGCAGAAAAAGCACCGGCUAACUACGUGCCAGCAGCCGCGGUAAUACGUAGGGUGCGAGCGUUGUCCGGAAUUAUUGGGCGUAAAGAGCUCGUAGGCGGUCUGUCGCGUCUGCUGUGGAAAAACCCCGAGGCUCAACCUCGGGCCCUGCAGUGGGUACGGGCAGACUAGAUGCGGUAGGGGAGAAUGGAAUUCCUGGUGUAGCGGUGGAAUGCGCAGAUAUCAGGAGGAACACCGAUGGCGAAGGCAGUUCUCUGGGCCGUAAACUGACGCUGAGGAGCGAAAAGCGUGGGGAGCGAACAGGAUUAGAAUACCCUGGGUAGUCCACGCCGUAAAACGUUGGGCGCUAGAUGU
rnacentral:rRNA from 1 species